rnacentral:rRNA from 1 species
CCUACGGGAGGCAGCAGUGGGGAAUAUUGCACAAUGGGCGCAAGCCUGAUGCAGCCAUGCCGCGUGUGUGAAGAAGGCCUUCGGGUUGUAAAGCACUUUCAGCGGGGAGGAAGGCGUUAAGGUUAAUAACCUUGUCGAUUGACGUUACCCGCAGAAGAAGCACCGGCUAACUCCGUGCCAGCAGCCGCGGCAAUACGGAGGGUGCAAGCGUUAAUCGGAAUUACUGGGCGUAAAGCGCACGCAGGCGGUCUGUCAAGUCGGAUGUGAAAUCCCCGGGCUCAACCUGGGAACUGCAUUCGAAACUGGCAGGCUAGAGUCUUGUAGAGGGGGGUAGAAUUCCAGGUGUAGCGGUGAAAUGCGUAGAGAUCUGGAGGAAUACCGGUGGCGAAGGCGGCCCCCUGGACAAAGACUGACGCUCAGGUGCGAAAGCGUGGGGAGCAAACAGGAUUAGAUACCCCUGUAGUC